rnacentral:rRNA from 1 species
CGCUUUCGGGCGGUCGACGACCGGCGCACGGGUGCGUAACGCGUAUGCAACCUUCCCGGUACAGGGGUUCAGCCCGAAGAAAUUCGGAUUACUGCCCCAUACGGUUUAGAGACGGCAUCGUUUUUAAACAAAAGCUCCGGCGGUAUCGGAUGGGCAUGCGUGCCAUUAGUUAGUUGGUAAGGUAAUUGCUUACCAAGGCGAUGAUGGCUAGGGGGUCUUAAAGGAUGGUCCCCCACACUGGUACUGAGACACGGACCAGACUCCUACGGGAGGCAGCAGUGAGGAAUAUUGCGCAAUGGAGGCAACUCUGACGCAGCCAUGCCGCGUGCAGGAAUACAGCCCUAUGGGUUUUAAACUGCUUUUAUACGAGAAGAACCGGGUCUAUUUUUAGACUUCUGACGGUAUUGUAUGAAUAAGCAUCGGCUAACUCCGUGCCAGCAGCCGCGGUAAUACGGAGGAUGCGAGUGUUAUCCGGAUUUAUUAGGUUUAAAGGGUGCGCAGGCGGGAUAAUCAGUCAUCGGUGAAAUACUUCGGCUUAACCGGAGAACUGCCGGUGAUACUGUUAUUCUUGAGUUCGGAUGAGGCAAGCGGAAUGCGUAGUGUAGCGGUGAAAUGCAUAGAUAUUACGCAGAACCCCUAUUGCGAAGGCAGCUUGCUAAACCGCGACUGACGCUGAGGCACGAAAGCGCGGGGAGCGAACAGGAUUAGAUACCCUGGUAGUCCGCGCCGUAAACGAUGAUUACUCGUUGUGUGCGAUACACGGUACGCGACUGAGCGAAAGCAUUAAGUAAUCCACCUGGGGAGUACGUCGGCAACGAUGACACUCAAAGGACUUGACGGGGGCCCGAACAAGCGGAGGUACAUGUGGUUUAAUUCGAUGAUACGCGAGGACAUUACCCGGGCUUAAAUGUGGCAUGUACGCCGUUGAAAGAUGGUUUCCCUUCGGGGCAAGUUACAAGGUGCUGCAUGGCUGUCGUCAGCUCGUGCCGUGAGGUGUCGGGUUAAGUCUCAUAACGAGCGCAACCCCUGCUGUUAGUUGCCAGCAUUUCGGAUGGGGACUCUGACAGGACUGCCGCCGUAAGGUGAGAGGAAGUUGGGGAUGACGUCAAGUCAGCACGGCCUUUAUGUCCGGGGCUACACACGUGUUACAAUGGCAGGUACAAAGGGCAGCUACACCGCGAGGUGAUGCUAAUCUCAAAAAUCUGUCUCAGUUCGGAUCGGAGUCUGGAACUCGACUCCGUGAAGUUGGAUUCGCUAGUAAUCGUAUAUCAGCAAUGAUACGGUGAUACGUUCCCGGGCAUUGUACACACCGCCCGUCAAGCCAUGGAAGCCGGGAGU